AUGGGGAUAUAUGGGGACACAUGGGGGUAUAUAGGAUAUAUGGGGUUAUAUGGGGUCAUAUGGGGUCACACGGGGAUAUAUGGGGACACAUGGGGGUAUAUGGGAUAUAUGGGGUCAUAUGGGGGUAUAUGGGAUAUAUGGGGUUAUAUGGGGUCAUAUGGGGAUAUAUGGGGUCAUAUGGGGAUAUAUGGGGUCAAUGGGGAUAUAUGGGGUCAUAUGGGGAUAUAUGGGGUCAAUGGGACAUACGGGGACAUGGGGAUAUAUGGGAUUAUAUGGGGUCAUGUGGGGAUAUAUGACAUAUAUGGGAUAUAUGGGGUCAUAUGGGGAUAUAGGGGAAUAUAUGGGAUAUAUGGGGACACAUGGGGUCAUAUGGGGAUAUAUGGGGGCAUAUGGGGGCACAUGAGGAUAUAUGGGGUCAUGUGGAGAUAUAUGGGGACAAGUGGGGACAUAUGGGGUCAUAUGGGAAUAUAUGGGGACAUAUGGGGACAAAUAGGGACAAAUGGGGACACAUGGGGAUAUAUGAGGCUAUAUGGGGACGUACGGGGACAUAUGGGAUAUAUGGGGACAUAUGGGAUAUAUGGGGAUACAGGGGGACAUAUGGGGAUUUCUGGGAACAUCCCCACAUUAUGGGGACGUAUGGGGACACACCGGGAUGCUGCUAUAGGGGGACACUUGGGGACAGCUCCACAUCAUGGGGUCACGGGGCCAUAUGGGGUCAUGGGGCCAUAUGGGGUCGUGGGGACAAAUGGGGUCAUGGGGACACAUGGGAACAUAUGGGGUUAUGGGGCCAUAUGGGGUCAUGGGGACAUGUGGGGACAAAUGGGGUUGUGGGGACAAAUGGGGCCUUAUGGGGUCAUGGGGACACGUGGGGCCAUAUGGGGUUGUGGGGACACAUGGGGACAUAUGUGGUCGUGGGGCCAUAUGGGGUUGUGGGGACAAAUGGGGCCAUAUGGGGUCAUGGGGACACAUGGGGACAUAUGGGGUCAUGGGGACACAUGGGAACAUGGGGACAAAUGGGGACAUAUGGGGUCGUGGGGACAAAUGGGGCCAUAUGGGGUCGUGGGGACACAUGGGGACAUAUGGGGUCAUGGGGACAAAUAGGAUC
rnacentral:lncRNA from 1 species